UACGUCUUCCCUUCUCAGAAGCUUCGAGAUCAGUCUGGCACAUUCUCCCUUCGGCGUUUUCUAAUGAUGCUGUGUGGUGUUUAAUGGCGCAAGGGCCAGCUAUGACCAAAGAGCGCCAUGACAUUUGACUUCCGGUUGCCGAUCCUGCCGAAAGACCACUGCGGCGCCAGCCAUAUCGUCCUGCUGUUUCCUUCGUGGGAACACGUGCACCUACUUGCACCGUACUGCGCCUGCGUGGUUUCCAGCGUGGCCGUUAAAAGCUCGUCGAAGAUCCAGGGACAUUCCAUUUGGCAGCAGCGGCUCGCGGCAGCGUGUAUACCUGUCUGACACUUGAAACUUUUGCUGUACAGAACUCGGCCACUGACGAUGCCCCCCUGUAUGAAUGGGCGCACACGCACCAUAUACCGCUGUCGCCAGUUAGAGUUGCGAAGCCGAGCAUCGGAAUCUGGCAGGCUUGAAAACCACUCGGCACGGAGCGAGCAUCGAUC